AUUGAACGCUGGCGGCAUGCCUUACACAUGCAAGUCGAACGGUAACGCGGGGUAACCUGGCGACGAGUGGCGAACGGGUGAGUAAUAUAUCGGAACGUGCCCAGUUGUGGGGGAUAACUGCUCGAAAGAGCAGCUAAUACCGCAUACGACCUGAGGGUGAAAGCGGGGGAUCGCAAGACCUCGCGCAAUUGGAGCGGCCGAUAUCAGAUUAGGGAGUUGGUGGGGUAAAGGCCUACCAAGCCUACGAUCUGUAGCUGGUCUGAGAGGACGACCAGCCACACUGGGACUGAGACACGGCCCAGACUCCUACGGGAGGCAGCAGUGGGGAAUUUUGGACAAUGGGGGCAACCCUGAUCCAGCCAUGCCGCGUGCGGGAAGAAGGCCUUCGGGUUGUAAACCGCUUUUGUCAGGGAAGAAAUCCUCUGGGAUAACACCUCGGAGGGAUGACGGUACCUGAAGAAUAAGCACCGGCUAACUACGUGCCAGCAGCCGCGGUAA
rnacentral:rRNA from 1 species